GGGUGUUUUAAGGUAAAAAGUUACGGUUCAACGAUGACAACCAUGUCCUUCACACGGAUGAGGCCACUGGUUCGAGACCAGUAUCGCCCACCA
rnacentral:tRNA from 1 species